UUCUCUUAUCUAUCUGUAUGUGCAGUACUCCUUCGGCAACCUUCCGUUUCUUCUCUCUCACAACUUAAUCGCUCUCUAUGUUUCAGUCGAUUUUUUUCCUCAAUCAUAACAAUAAGUCAAUUUUGAAUCAGUAUAUGGUUUUUCUUCCUCUUAUUCUUCAAAUAGAUCUAUCAAAUUCUUACUCCUAUAGUUUUGAGAUUCCUUUAACCGAAUCAGUAUGAAGAAAUCUAAGAUUCUGGAGAGAUUUCUCUAUUUCACGAGAGUUCUGAGAUUCCUUAAACCGAAUCAGUAUGAAGAAAUCUAAGAUUCUGGAGAGAUUUCUCUAUUUCACGAGGUUGGUUUGUAUUCAAAAGGGUUUUGAAUGAACGCCUUCAACAACUUCUAAGUUUGUGUUGCCGGACUUUGAUUGCCUGCUGACUUAUUGGAUCACUCCUCUAUUCAGCGAGAACCACCUGUGAGUGACGAUUCUGUUGCUUGCAUCAGUGGAUGUAAGCAUAUGGCAGAGGUAGUGAAUUGAGAUCUUGGACUAAGUUCAGAGCUGAAGGCUAGAACAUAAGGGUUUGUGGAUAUAGACCAAGAAGGAAGCACAAGAGGAGGGAAUUACUUGCACCUGGUUAAUCUAGUUCUGUGGAAAGUAUUUUGGAAUACCCCAUUAUGACAUUUAAUGUUGUUGACUUUGGAAUUUGGGAAGGUUCAAUAAUAGUCGUGGCCGACGAAACUGGGUGAUUUGCUAUACUUGGGAAGGUUUUCUCAUAGUCACAUCUUCUUUUUAGAUUAUCGUUGUGCGUAACUACUUGAUAUAAAUUUCAAAAAAUAUUUUCAUGUCUUUUCUUGUCAAAUUCUUGAUACAGGGGUUGAUCAAUGUUCCCUGUGUGUUAAUAGAGAAAGUUUUGAUUUAAUCUCUAAUAGCCCAACCUAGAAAAUCUGGAACAACUUUGAGUUUUGAUUUUGAUAUCAUUAGUCUAACAGUCUUGGUCAGAUUUAUGUAUAGAAACUGUAGAAUAUUACAGGACUGUUGUUAUGGAUUCCUUCUAUAUAGGUUUCAAUUAAUGAUGACAAAUAUUGUAGCUAAGAAGUGGCAUCCGUUAAAUUUGGUGUAUACAUAUUUUCAUCCAUCAAUUCCUAGUCCAGUCACCUGUAAAUAGUAGAUUUUUACUGAAAUCUGUUAGAGAAAUAUUUUAACACUUCUCAGCUUUGCCCAUUACUGUGCCAAUAACUUGCUAAUGGAACUGUAUCAUGCAGUUCAGAUUACGAAGUUUUCAAAUUUUUUAGGAGGAGAGAUCAGCUAUGGCUUACUAGCGUUGUGUAUCUUUUGGGUCUGAUGUGUUAGAGCAUUGUAAUAAGAGAAAACUGACUGUAUAUCUUUGAGGAAGUGUACUGCAGAUAGUGCAAUUAGGUUCUAAUUUCUAAGGUCAGGUGGUCUCAACCACUGUUUCUAGGGCAUCAGAGCGGAAUAAGAUAACUAUCAUAGUAUUAUCUGAAACUAUUUUGAUAUUAGUCUUGGUCAAAACUUAAGUUUACAACUAUCGGAAAUUUACUGACACACUGAUAUUGAUUACUGUAAUGUAGUUCUCAAGGUUGUUAGCGUUGACAACAAGUAAUGAUGAUGCAUACUCUAAUCCUCAUCUAUAUUAUGACGUGGGCUUGAAAAUGUUGGAUCAGUAACCUAAAUUGUGAUUAACUUAUGGAUUUACGAGGCAGUGUCAGGGGAGGACAAUGGCCCCUGCAUUGUAGUUCAGUUCAAUUUUAAACUCAAUUCAUAGAAUGAAAUUGUGAGAUGAAUUAGCUUGUUGUAGCUCUGGGAUCAGGUUAUGAAAUGAAAAAAUCAUGUCACUGUUGGGGGGAAUUUCCCUUGGGGUUGUAGUUUAGUUUUUAGCCUACUUUCUAGCAUCAACUGUGAAUGUUGACGGUCAAUUAUUCUACUUUUGGAUUUAGCCACUCACGUCUGAAUUUGUGAACAACCAUGCCCUUUUCUAGCAAAGACGCAGUAUUGUAUCAUGUUUUCCUCAAGCUGUUUAUUACUUAACUUGAUUUCUUUUUUCUUUAUGUCAGUUGUCUGAAUUCCAUGUAUUGAACUGAUGCGCUACUUAAUGUUACCUUCUUAAGAGAUCUUUUAAAUGCUCUAUUUUGUUUGUAGGGGAAGAUGUUUCUCCUGGAUUAAGAAAAGGUGGAAUUAAACUUUGAUCAUGUAAAUGGUAAUGGAUGCAGCUAUGAACCUCUCUACGUGUGUCAACUGGCAAGUUUGCUGGAUAAUUAGGAUCUCAAUUGGUGAACUUAGGGAUGGAAUAAUGGACCUGAUUAGAGCUAGUUUUUCAGAAGAUGAAGACAUGGAUGGUGAAGUCUCGCCUUCAUGUUUUGAAGACACGAUGGUGAAGUCCUACCUUCAUGUUUUGAAACUUUAUGGUUGUAAAGCCUGUAGUAGGAACAUGGGUUAAGGUUUUCCAACUUGGUGUUAGAUAUUUUUUUCAGACUUGGAACUCGCAGUAUUUACGUAGUUGAAAUUGUAAACUGAAUUCACUUUCAAUACCAACUGAGUUUUAAAGUCCUAUCAAUUUAAUUUUGUGAAAGUCGGUUUUGAAGUCA